rnacentral:rRNA from 1 species
UACGUAGGGACCGAGCGUUGUCCGGGUUUAUUGGGCGUAAAGAGCGUGUAGGCGGUUUGGUAGGUCCGCUGUGAAAACUCGAGGCUCAACCUCGAGACGCCGGUGGAAACCAUCAGACUAGAGUCCGGAAGAGGAGAGUGGAAUUCCUGGUGUAGCGGUGAAAUGCGCAGAUAUCAGGAAGAACACCCGUGGCUAAGGCGGCUCUCUAGUACGGUACUGACGCUGAGACGCGAAAGCGUGGGGAGCGAACAGG